AUUAGAUUAAAAACCAAUGCCCUUCGGGGCUCUCUGGUGAUUCAUGAUAACUUCUCGAAUCGCAUGGCCUUGCGCCGGCGAUGGUUCAUUCAAAUUUCUUCCCUAUCAACUUUCGAUGUUUGGGUAUUGGCCAAACAUGGUUGCAACGGGUAACGGAGGGUUAGGGCUCGACCCCGGAGAAGGAGCCUGAGAAACGGCUACUACAUCCAAGGAAGGCAGCAGGCGCGCAAAUUACCCAAUCCCGACUCGGGGAGGUAGUGACAAUAAAUACUGAUACAGGGUUCCUUCGGAUCUUGUAAUUGGAAUGAGUACAAUUAAAUCCCUUAACGAGGAACAAUUGGAGGGCAAGUCUGGUGCCAGCAGCCGCGGAAUUCCAGCUCCAAUAGCGUAUAUUAAAGUUGUUGUGGUUAAAAAGCUCGUAGUUGAACCUUGGGCCUGGCUGGCCGGUCCGCCUCACCGCGUGUACUGGUCCGGCCGGGCCUUUCCCUCUGUGGAACCCUAUGCCCUUCACUGGG
rnacentral:rRNA from 1 species